rnacentral:rRNA from 1 species
AGUAGUUGAUCCUGGCUCGAGGACGAACGCUGGCGGGCGUGCUUAACACAUGCAAGUCGAGCGGUAAGGCCCUUUCGGGGGUACACGAGCGGCGAACGGGUGAGUAACACGUGGGUGACCUGCCCUCCACUCUGGGAUAAGCCUGGGAAACUGGGUCUAAUACCGGAUAGGACCAUUGAUCGCAUGGUUGGUGGUGGAAAGUUUUUUCGGUGGGGGAUGGGCCCGCGGCCUAUCAGCUUGUUGUGGGGUGAUGGCCUACCAAGGCGGUGACGGGUAGCCGGCCUGAGAGGGCGACCGGCCACACUGGGACUGAGACACGGCCCAGACUCCUACGGGAGGCAGCAGUGGGGGAAUAUUGCGCAAUGGGCGGAAGCCUGACGCAGCGACGCCGCGUGGGGGAUGACGGCCUUCGGGUUGUAAACCUCUUUCGCCAGGGACGAAGAGCAAUUGACGGUACCUGGAGAAGAAGCACCGGCCAACUACGUG